rnacentral:rRNA from 1 species
AUGCACCACCCCGGGACACCCUCGUUCUGCUCUUCCGAUUCCCUGCCUCGCCUCGCGGGACAGAGCUCGAUAUCGAGCGUAGCAACCCCGGUGAGCUCCGCCAUCCUAAGCAGCGCCGACGUGAAAUUCUCCCGCCUCGGACCGCACCAAAUCGACCUCCCCAGCAAAACAAAUCUCGCCGGAGCAUACCAUCACCGUUGCAUGUUCAUCCGCCCACCAUCGUCGCUACAGGAUGCACCGGAACUCCCCGAGGACACCAAAGGCCUCCCCAUGAACCUCCUAGUCUUCCAGCAUCUUCACCGAUCUCCUACGGCCAUCGGGAGCAACGCCGUCGCCGAUCAGGGCCAUCGCCGUCUCCUCUAUUCCAAUUGCUCGGAGCGUGACGAGUAG